GAUGAACGCUAGCGGCAGGCUUAAUACAUGCAAGUCGAGGGGCAGCGGGAGUAGCAAUACUUGCCGGCGACCGGCGCACGGGUGCGUAACACGUAUGUAAUCUGCCCAUCACAGGAGGAUAGCCCGGAGAAAUUCGGAUUAAUACUCCAUAAUAGAAGAUAAAGCAUUUUAUUUCUUGAAGUUCCGACGGUGAUGGAUGAACAUGCGACUGAUUAGUUUGUUGGUGAGGUAACGGCCCACCAAGACUACGAUCAGUAGGGGUACGUGAGAGGUUAAACCCCACCACUGGUACGUGAGACACGGACC
rnacentral:rRNA from 1 species